rnacentral:rRNA from 1 species
UUGACCUCAGAUCAGGCGGGACUACCCGCUGAACUUAAGCAUAU